GACGUAGGGCGCGAGCGUUGUCCGGAUUUAUUGGGCGUAAAGAGCUCGUAGGCGGCUUGUUGCGUCAGCUGUGAAAACCCGCAGCUCAACUGUGGGCUUGCAGCUGAUACGGGCAGGCUUGAGUUCGGUAGGGGAGACUGGAAUUCCUGGUGUAGCGGUGAAAUGCGCAGAUAUCAGGAGGAACACCGGUGGCGAAGGCGGGCAUUCUGGGACCGUGUAACUGACAGCUGAGGAACGAAAGCCAGG
rnacentral:rRNA from 1 species